AUGAACGCUGGCGGCGUGCCUUAUCCAUGCCAGUCGAGCGAACAGACGAGGAGCUUGCUCCUCUGACGUUAGCGGCGGACGGGUGAGUAACACGUGGAUAACCUACCUAUAAGACUGGGAUAACUUCGGGAAACCGGAGCUAAUACCGGAUAAUAUAUUGAACCGCAUGGUUCAAUAGUGAAAGACGGUUUUGCUGUCACUUAUAGAUGGAUCCGCGCCGCAUUAGCUAGUUGGUAAGGUAACGGCUUACCAAGCCAACGAUGCGUAACCGACCUGAGAGGGUGAUCGGCCACACUGGAACUGAGACACGGUCCAGACUCCUACGGGAGGCAGCAGUAGGGAAUCUUCCGCAAUGGGGGAAAGCCUGACGGAGCAACGCCGCGUGAGUGAUGAAGGUCUUCGGAUCGUAAAACUCUGUUAUUAGGGAAGAACAAAUGUGUAAGUAACUAUGCACGUCUUGACGGUACCUAAUCAGAAAGCCACGGCUAACUACGUG
rnacentral:rRNA from 1 species